UUGGCUUGCAGAAUCCUAAUCUCUUGACCCUCAGCAAUUCAGUCACAUGGCAAUUGGGGAAGAAGACUUGGUUUGAAAAAAUAGCCUGAAGGCGCGCGCCAACCAGAGACACGGUUCCAGCGGCGAUGGCCACCAAAACAGGAAUUCUAUACAUCGACUAGUUCAUCUACACCUCCUUAGUCCGAAUAUCUCAUUAAUUCUACGAAAUCCUUAUUCCAGAUCCACAACUGAAACGGCAUCUUCCAAGAAUCCUAAGACUGAAAUCCUAAAUCAAAUGCCUCUCUCCGAGGAUCAGAACCCAAGGGAUUGGGGCUCUAAACUCCCUAGUUCUCAUCUAUGUCAUGGCUACAAAGGAUUGAAAGAAAGCGAGUUUCGAAACCUUACCUUAUCGGAUGCGACGAUGGUGAUGACUAUGUUGGCGCCGACGAGGGCUCUAGUUCCAGGCAGUGACGAUGUUUCCUUCUUCUUUAUGAAUGCGAAGCAAUCUUCUUCUUCUCCAAUCUCCAAUCUGUGGGAAUAACUUCUUCUUGAGAUGCACCUGCGAUUUAUUGUAUCAGAGAGGAUGAUGAAGGUUGAAGCUCAACUGGUUAGAGCUUCUGAUGUUGAAGCUCUAACAGUUACGGUAAUGGAGAGCGUAUAGUGAGGAAUUGGGAGGGAGCUGUGAGAAUCACGUGUGAUUGAGAGUGAUGAAGAUGAGAGCAAAAAAAAUGGAGAAUCCCCCAAAUGAUUGGGAACUGGUUGGUUUUAUAGAAGUCAGGGUUGGUUGUAACCGAAUGGGGCAGUUUAGGUUGUUGUUUUGGAAGUUAUCUCAUCGGAGAAGGAAGGUCUGGUAUCGUCGACUCAGUUGUGCCGGGAGGUGUAGAGGGAGUUGUUCUGGAUUUUGAAGGUUGUAGAGAUUCUGUUGCGCUUUCUCCUUUGGAGUUAGCUUCUUCUAGAAGCUCUUCCGGGGCCUUUUCAUGUUGACGGUUUGGUUCCUAACACACCCAACUCAUGUUGAGUUCAAAACCUUAAUCCUCGGUCUCUUUACGAACUUCGUAUAUAAUCCCAGCUACUUCAAUAGCUCCUUGCCGGCAUGUCAAAUUUGUAAACUGCUCACAAAUCUACACUGCUAAGUCAUAUUCCCCUUCUUUAGUACAAAAUGAUAAAUCAUCUAGCGUCUAAAUAUUGACGAAAAGGUUGGCUUUCCUUGAAACCAGUGAAGAGAACAACAAGAUAAGCAAUAAGGACAAGCUUUUACCCUUGCCCAAAGUUCGAUAGGAGAUGUAAAACAAUGGAUAGCCUUUUGUGCUCAACUAUUUCAGGAAACAUAUCUAUGAAAACCUUCAGUAAUUUCUCCACAUGAUUUGUCUUAGACAACUAGCAAGGAACAAUUGCAAAUAUAAGAUCCUCAAAAACAUGCUUUGAAUGAAUGUCAAUAUGUGCAAUGGCUGAUACCCCAAUAACCAGAAGAAUAUCAAGUAUAUGCUCGAAAAUGUUUCAUGGCAAGACUUUAAUAACAACAGAAAGCAAAGAGAAUAUAUGGUUGCGGGUGACUAAAACAUUGGUAGUCUGGGCACACUCUAUCGGUAGCUUAAUGUUAAUCUCGUCCAUCAGUUUUUUCAUUUAGCACAGUCAUAAUUUUAGUUUUGAUUAUGGUGGAUCUCUAGGUAAUCUAGCUGGCAUUACCUGGUUAGUGCAAUUUAAUUGGUGAAUGGUCGGUUAGUUGCUAUGUCAGUUGGAAAUGAAAAUUGCGGUGUAAAUGUUAUGUCGUUGCAGCUUAUCUUUUUGCUCAGUGUUACUGACUUGGCCCUGCAGGGUAUUCAUCAUACCUUGACGUGGCUAUAUCCCAUUUGGGAUUGGUUUGAUGUGAUGCAUCAUGGUUCCCCAGGCGUAUAGGGUGGUGCAUCACCUAUUGAAAUAAUUUGGUCAAUUUGUUUUCCUGCAGGUGUUCAAAUGCACGACGACUAAGUGCCUGAUGAUUGCUUGGCUUGAAUGGUUAGCUUGCAAUGAAAUACAACUUAGGUCAUCAUGCUUUUGUGAGUAAACUAUGUCGAUGUCCACCGCUAAUGGUUUGGCUUGUUCUCUUUUACCGCAUGUGAUCAUGUGAAUGAUGACUGCAAUAGGUGGAUCGUUGUUUCUACAACUUGGCUUAUGUUUAUGCUGGUUAUAUGAAAGGCUGCAGGUCUGUAUAGGUUGCAGCAUUUCACCAAUACCUUUUCAACGAAGGAACGCCACAAGGGUCAGGAUUGCUUACAUACUAAGUGGUUGGAAGUGUGUUAAGCUGUCGUGAUUAUUAUGCUUGAGACGAAUCAUGGGUGGCGAGCAGGCCAUGUUGGCGAGUCAUCUCUCUUCAUUUUCAUAUGUAGAUGUCGGCGAAGCUUAGGGAAUAUCGUUUCAAGCUCUUUCUAUUGAUAACAUUUUUGUUAACAAGGAUGGUGAAUCCAUAUCAUCCUUAAAAGAUGCUUAGUUUAUGGUGGAGAAUGGUCAAUCCGCUAGCUGGGGACAAAUUGUUGAGCUUGCUGAGAACAAGAACAAAGCUAGUUUGGUUUUUUCAACCAGUACAAGCCGAAGAGAUUUGAAGUGAAUUCAAGAAGUGUUUUACAUUGCUGGCUUUAUUCAUUCUAAGGAUCAGUCUGUUGCCGCAAUCUUAGAAGACGAUGAAGAGCAACAAGUGCCAGACUUUGUGACACGUGGAUCGAUCUGCCAGAAUUGGAUUGUUGUUGAUGUUCCUUAUGUUAUUCACUUGUCGAAGUAAUAUGUUUGUUUUUUGUUAUUUUCAAAAUCCUUUCACUAUUCCCAAGGUGAAAGUGAAUCUAUGUGGGCUUUGUUUCAAAUUUCAUUAUCAUUAAUAAAAUGUUAUUUCGUUUA